rnacentral:rRNA from 1 species
UUUAUGCCGGAAUGAGUAACGAUAAUGCAGGUGAGAAACCUGCACGCCGAAAGCCUAAGGUUUCCUGGGGAAGGUCAAUCCGCCCAGGGUUAGCCGGUUCCUUAGUCGAGGCCGAAAGGCGUAGACGAUGGACAGCAGGUUAAUAUUCCUGCGCCGCUAGCGUGGAGCAAGGGAGGGACAGCAUUUGAAAGAAGAGCCGGCCGGAUAGAAAUGGCCGCGGACGAUUGCUCGGUGGGGGAUAGUAAUACCCUCGUAUCCGGGCCUUUGGACCAAGACCUAGUCGAUGUCUUUAGACAAAUGCUCAAGAAAAUCUCCGACUGCGUUGAAACGCGCGACCGUACUAAAACUGACACAAGUAGGCGAGACGAGUAGUCUCAGGCGCUCGGGAGAACGGUGGUUAAGGAACUCUGCAAAAUGGCCCCGUAACUUCGGGAUAAGGGGCGCCUCCAAUAGUUUACUAUUGAGGCCACAGUAAAUCGGAUUCAGCGACUGUUUAUCAAAAACACAGGACUCUGCCAACUCGCAAGAGGAUGUAUAGAGUCUGACGCCUGCCCGGUGUCGGUAGGUUAAGGAAGAAGGUUAGCCUCACGGCGAAGCUUGCGACCGAAGCCCCGAUAAACGGCGGCCGUAACUAUGACGGUCCUAAGGUAGCGAAGUUCCUUGUCGGGUAAGUUCCGACGUGCAUGAAUGGCGUAACGACUGGAUCACUGUCUCAACCACCGACCCGGUGAAAUUGUAGCCGUGGUGAAGAUGCCACGUUCCCGCAGUUAGACGGAAAGACCCCGUGAACCUUUACUGUAGGCUGAUAUUGGGCUGAGGUAUGCUCUGUGUAGGAUAGGUGGGAGGCUAUGAUCUGGGCGCGCCAGCGUUCAGGGAGCCACCGUUGAAAUACCACCCUGAGAAUGCUUUAGUUCUAACCCCGAGUCCGUGAAACCGGACGGGGGACAGUGUCAGUUGGGCAGUUUGACUGGGGCGGUCUCCUCCAAAAAAGUAACGGAGGAGUACAAAGGUACCCUCAGCCUGGUUGGCAAUCAGGCGUAGAGCGCAUAGGUAUAAGGGUGCUUGACUGCGAGACUUAUCAGUCGAGCAGGCACGAAAGUGGGUCUAAGUGAUCCGGUGGUCCCGUAUGGAAGGGCCAUCGCUCAUCAGAUAAAAGGUACUCCGGGGAUAACAGGCUUAUCGCCUCCGAGCGUCCAUAGCGGCGAGGCGGUUUGGCACCUCGAUGUCGGCUCAUCACAUCCUGGGGGUGAAGAAGCUCCCAAGGGUUUGGCUGUUCGCCAAUGAAAGUGGUACGUGAGCUGGGUUCAGACCGUCGUGAGACAGGUCGGUCCCUAUCUGCUGUGGGCGCACGAAACUUGCGGAGGUUCUUCAUUAGUACGAGAGGAUUUUGAAGGACGGAGCUCUGGUGUUCCAGUUAUCGCGCUAGCGGUACGGCUGGAUAGCUAACUCCGGAAAGGAUAAACGCUGAAAGCAUCUAAGCGUGAAGCCCUCUCCAAGAUCAGGUUUCGUUGAGUCAAAUCGAAAGCCCCCUGGUAGACCACCAGGAUAAUAGGCCGGAUGUGUACGCGUAGAAAUACGUUCAGCUAACCGGUACUAAAGGGCGAAAGCUUGGCCA